UCAUGCAGGCGAGUUUCAGCCUGCAAUCCGAACUGAGAUCGACUUUAAGAGAUUAGCUUCACCUCGCGGCUAAGCGACUCGUUGUAUCGACCAUUGUAGCACGUGUGUAGCCCUAAACAUAAGGGGCAUGAUGAUUUGACGUCAUCCCCACCUUCCUCCAGGUUAUCCCUGGCAGUCUUUCUAGAGUCCUCAGCAUUACCUGUUAGUAACUAAAAAUAGGGGUUGCGCUCGUUGCGGGACUUAACCCAACAUCUCACGACACGAGCUGACGACAACCAUGCACCACCUGUCACCUUUGUUCCCGAAGAAAACCUUCCGAUUAAGGAAGUAGCAAAGGGAUGUCAAGUUU
rnacentral:rRNA from 1 species